rnacentral:pre_miRNA from 1 species
CAGCUACUUCCUCUGUCCGGAAUUACUUGUCACACAAAUGGAUAAAAAUGGAUGUAUCUAAAACUAAAAUACAUCUAGAUACAUCCAUUUUUCCAACAAGUAUUUCCGGACGGAGGGAAUACGUA